rnacentral:tRNA from 1 species
GUAAAUAUAGUUUAAUCUAAAACAUUAGAUUGUGGAUCUAACAAUAGAAAAUUAUUCUUCUUAUUUACC